GGGGCUAAAACUGCAUACCGAAGCUUGGGAAUACGCGUAGGCGUAUUGGUAGAGGAGCAAUGUAUAAGGGCAGAAGCCGUAUCGAAAGGGGCGGUGGACUUUAUACAAGAGAGAAUGCCGGCAUAAGUAGCGAGAGAGAAGUGAGAAACUUCUCCGUCGAAAGCCUAAGGAUUCCUGGGGAAGGUUCGUCCACCCAGGGUAAGUCGGGGCCUAAGUCGAGGCCGAAAGGCGUAGAUGAAGGACAACGGGUAGAUAUUCCCGUACCGACACAUAGAAUGAAGCAGGGACACGGAAGGAUAGUCGGACCGCGAGAACGGAGAGUCGCGGGCAAAUAACGAGGGAGGGACGGCAGUGAAGCACACCGUUCCGAUAAUUCCGAGUUAUGACGCGGAGGGAAAAUAGUACCGAAGCCGAUGAAUUCACGCCGGCGAGAAAAGCUGCUAAAUAUAUAUAUUAUUUGCCCGUACCGCAAACCGACACAGGUAGGCGGCAAGAGAAUUGCAAGACUAUCGGGAUAACCAUUGUUAAGGAACUCGGCAAAAUAACCCCGUAACUUCGGGAGAAGGGGAGCCUCGCGAGAGGCCGCAGAGAAAUGUCCCAAGCGACUGUUUACCUAAAACACAGGUCUCUGCUAAAGCGCAAGCUGAAGUAUAGGGGCUGACGCCUGCCCGGUGCCGGAAGGUCAAGGGGAAGAGUUAGGGGAAAACCCGAAGCUUAGAACUUAAGCCCCGGUGAACGGCGGCCGUAACUAUAACGGUCCUAAGGUAGCGAAAUUCCUUGUCGGGUAAGUUCCGACCCGCAUGAAUGGCGUAACGACUUGGGCACUGUCUCAACAGGGGACCCGGCGAAAUUGAAGUAUACGUGAAGAUGCGUAUUACCCGCGACUGGACGGAAAGACCCCAUAGAGCUUUACUGUAAAUUCAUAUUGUCUCGUUGAAACUGAUGCACAGGAUAGGUGGGACGCGGAGAGGCGGUUGCUUUGGCAAUCGCGGAGCGGUCCUUGGGAUACCACCCUUCGGUUUCGACGAUUCUAACCGAGUGCCGUAAUCCGGGCUUGGGACAGUGUGUGUUGGACAGUUUGACUGGGGCGGUCGCCUCCUAAAGAGUAACGGAGGCGUACAAAGGUUCACUCAGUAUGGUUGGAAACCAUACGCAGAGCGCAAUGGUAUAAGUGAGCUUUACUGCAAGACCUACAAGUCGAGCAGUUGCGAAAGCAGGUCAUAGUGAUCCGGUGGUAGAGAAUGGAAUUGCCAUCGCUUAACGGAUAAAAGUUACCUUGGGGAUAACAGGCUGAUUCCUCCCAAGCGUCCACAGCGACGGAGGAGUUUGGCACCUCGAUGUCGGCUCGUCACAUCCUGGGGCUGUAGCAGGUCCCAAGGGUUCGGCUGUUCGCCGAUUAAAGUGGCACGCGAGCUGGGUUCAGAACGUCGUGAGACAGUUCGGUCCCUAUCUAUCGUGGGCGCAGGAAUUUUGCGGAGCUCUGACUCUAGUACGAGAGGACCGAGUUGGACGUACCGCUGGUGUACCGGUUGUUUCGCCAGAAGCAUUGCCGGGUAGCUAUGUACGGAUUGGAUAAGUGCUGAAAGCAUCUAAGCACGAAGCCAGCUCCAAGAUAAGAAUUCCCUUGAGGGUUGUGGAAGACUACCACGUUGAUAGGCUACAGGUGUAAAGGCAGUAAUGUCAAAGCCGAGUAGUACUAAUUGCCCGAAAGAUUUUCUUGC
rnacentral:rRNA from 1 species